GAGUUUGAUCAUGGCUCAGAUUGAACGCUGGCGGCAGGCCUAACACAUGCAAGUCGAACGGUAACAGGAAACAGCUUGCUGUUUCGCUGACGAGUGGCGGACGGGUGAGUAAUGUCUGGGAAACUGCCUGAUGGAGGGGGAUAACUACUGGAAACGGUAGCUAAUACCGCAUAACGUCGCAAGACCAAAGAGGGGGACCUUCGGGCCUCUUGCCAUCAGAUGUGCCCAGAUGGGAUUAGCUAGUAGGUGGGGUAACGGCUCACCUAGGCGACGAUCCCUAGCUGGUCUGAGAGGAUGACCAGCCACACUGGAACUGAGACACGGUCCAGACUCCUACGGGAGGCAGCAGUGGGGAAUAUUGCACAAUGGGCGCAAGCCUGAUGCAGCCAUGCCGCGUGUAUGAAGAAGGCCUUCGGGUUGUAAAGUACUUUCAGCGGGGAGGAAGGGAGUAAAGUUAAUACCUUUGCUCAUUGACGUUACCCGCAGAAGAAGCACCGGCUAACUCCGUGCCAGCAGCCGCGGUAAUACGGAGGGUGCAAGCGUUAAUCGGAAUUACUGGGCGUAAAGCGCACGCAGGCGGUUUGUUAAGUCAGAUGUGAAAUCCCCGGGCUCAACCUGGGAACUGCAUCUGAUACUGGCAAGCUUGAGUCUCGUAGAGGGGGGUAGAAUUCCAGGUGUAGCGGUGAAAUGCGUAGAGAUCUGGAGGAAUACCGGUGGCGAAGGCGGCCCCCUGGACGAAGACUGACGCUCAGGUGCGAAAGCGUGGGGAGCAAACAGGAUUAGAUACCCUGGUAGUCCACGCCGUAAACGAUGUCGACUUGGAGGUUGUGCCCUUGAGGCGUGGCUUCCGGAGCUAACGCGUUAAGUCGACCGCCUGGGGAGUACGGCCGCAAGGUUAAAACUCAAAUGAAUUGACGGGGGCCCGCACAAGCGGUGGAGCAUGUGGUUUAAUUCGAUGCAACGCGAAGAACCUUACCUGGUCUUGACAUCCACGGAAGUUUUCAGAGAUGAGAAUGUGCCUUCGGGAACCGUGAGACAGGUGCUGCAUGGCUGUCGUCAGCUCGUGUUGUGAAAUGUUGGGUUAAGUCCCGCAACGAGCGCAACCCUUAUCCUUUGUUGCCAGCGGUCCGGCCGGGAACUCAAAGGAGACUGCCAGUGAUAAACUGGAGGAAGGUGGGGAUGACGUCAAGUCAUCAUGGCCCUUACGACCAGGGCUACACACGUGCUACAAUGGCGCAUACAAAGAGAAGCGACCUCGCGAGAGCAAGCGGACCUCAUAAAGUGCGUCGUAGUCCGGAUUGGAGUCUGCAACUCGACUCCAUGAAGUCGGAAUCGCUAGUAAUCGUGGAUCAGAAUGCCACGGUGAAUACGUUCCCGGGCCUUGUACACACCGCCCGUCACACCAUGGGAGUGGGUUGCAAAAGAAGUAGGUAGCUUAACCUUCGGGAGGGCGCUUACCACUUUGUGAUUCAUGACUGGGGUGAAGUCGUAACAAGGUAACCGUAGGGGAACCUGCGGUUGGAUCACC
rnacentral:rRNA from 1 species